rnacentral:rRNA from 1 species
GGGGAAUAUUGCACAAUGGGCGAAAGCCUGAUGCAGCAACGCCGCGUGAGUGAUGAAGGUCUUCGGAUUGUAAAGCUCUGUCUUUUGGGACGAUAAUGACGGUACCAAAGGAGGAAGCCACGGCUAACUACGUGCCAGCAGCCGCGGUAAUACGUAGGUGGCGAGCGUUGUCCGGAUUUACUGGGCGUAAAGGGUGCGUAGGCGGAUGUUUAAGUGAGAUGUGAAAUACCCGGGCUUAACUUGGGUGCUGCAUUUCAAACUGGAUAUCUAGAGUGCAGGAGAGGAGAAUGGAAUUCCUAGUGUAGCGGUGAAAUGCGUAGAGAUUAGGAAGAACACCAGUGGCGAAGGCGAUUCUCUGGACUGUAACUGACGCUGAGGCACGAAAGCGUGGGUAGCAAACAGGAUUAGAUACCCUGGUAGUCCACGCCGUAAACGAUGAGUACUAGGUGUAGGAGGUAUCGACCCCUUCUGUGCCGCAGUAAACACAUUAAGUACUCCGCCUGGGGAAGUACGAUCGCAAGAUUAAAACUCUAAAGUGAAUUGAC